UCAAAUUUGGGAAACUGUAAGCAGCAUGACAUGUUUAGAGUGCAGGAUAAGAAUGUCUGCAGGAGUGAAGUGUUCAUAAUCAGGAGAUUAUGCGUGUUCUAUAAUCAGGAGAUUGUGCAUGUUGUAUAAUCAGGAGACGGAAUCUCCUGCAGGCAUUCAAAGCCCACUAACCCAUUUUAAACAAGGGAAGAAAAUGCGUGACUUUCUGCUUUAGAACAACUGCCCUUGGGACAGUACAGAAGAGGAAAUGAAGAAGAGGAAGUCUAGAGGAAGUGGGAACAGUUUAUUGACUAUUACAAUAGUCCAAGCAAAAGAUAAUGAGAACAUAAAGUAGAAAAGGAAAUGUAGGAAUGGAGAAGAAAUAACAAUUUAAAAACAUUUAAGGGAUCCUUCUAACAAAACCCAGUGAUUAGUGGUACAUCUGGAAUGAGGGAUUAUUCCAAGGUUUAUUAUUUAGAUAAUAGGUGACUCAUGCAGAGACUAAACACAGGAAAAACAAUUUUCAGGAAAAAUUAGAAAAGUUGCUAUUUAUACAUGUUAAAUUUGAGUUGUCUAUAACAGAUCUGUCUACUGAUAACAAUUUGGCUAUCGAACUCAGGAGUAAAAUUUUGUCUAAAGAUAAAAGAUGAAAAUUAGAAGUGCCUAAAACUGACAACGGGUCUGGUAUCUAGAUCAUCCAAGGAACUUCCGCAAAUUCAUCAGACUAAAAAGAAGAACCCUAAAUAGAAAAAAAAAAAUGGUCAAAGGACAGGAAUAGGCAAUUAAUAGAAAAGGAAACUCCCAAAUUUCUCAAGCAUAUGAAGAGAUGCUUAAGCUCAUUAGUAAUGUGAGACAUGAAAAAUUAAAAUUGCAAUGGUAUGUUACUCUCUAUCUAGUCUACUGGAUAAAAAUUAGAAAGUUAGACAACAUGAAGUGUUGGCCUGGAUUUGAAGAUGCAGGAAUUUAGAGACUGGUUGGAGAAGCAGGCAAGAGAUGGGCAUUCUGGAGUGCAAUCUGACAGUAUUUGGUUAAAAUUGACUAAAUUAAGUAUAGACACCCCCUCUGGCCCAAUAAUUCUGCUUCUGAAUACACGUGUUGAAGAGAUUCUCACACAUAUCCACAGGGUGCCUGUGCAGCAGUAUUCACUGUGAUAGGAAGUGAGAAGCAGUCUGAGUGUUCAUUGCUGAGGGAAUCAAGGGCAAAAUAUCAUGGAUGCACUCAUGGACAAAUAAGCAGCAGUUUGAAGCAACAACCUAGAUGGAUGUACAGCCAUCAAGAGGAUCUUAAAGUGUGGUCUUUAGUGGAAAAAAAGGUUACAUUUGAACAUAUUUAUCUGCUAAAGCAAAAUAAUUCCCAUCAUUCUAUAGCAGAAGCAAUGUAUGGGAGACUGAGUAAUUACAUAUAAGCUCACAUCACUAUCUCUUCCACCACUGUCAUCCAUCAUGACUGAUCUGGGAGAUGAAACAGCACAGAUCUAAAGGACGUGGCUGGAGUGCAAUGGCAUGGUAUCGGCUCACUGCAACCUC
rnacentral:lncRNA from 1 species